CCUACGGGAGGCAGCAGUGGGGAAUAUUGGACAAUGGGGGCAACCCUGAUCCAGCCAUGCCGCGUGUGUGAAGAAGGCCCUCGGGUUGUAAAGCACUUUCAGUGAGGAAGAACGCCUGGUGGUUAAUACCCAUCAGGAAAGACAUCACUCACAGAAGAAGCACCGGCUAACUCCGUGCCAGCAGCCGCGGUAAUACGGAGGGUGCGAGCGUUAAUCGGAAUUACUGGGCGUAAAGCGCGCGUAGGUGGCUUGAUAAGCCGGUUGUGAAAGCCCCGGGCUCAACCUGGGAACGGCAUCCGGAACUGUCAAGCUAGAGUGCAGGAGAGGAAGGUAGAAUUCCCGGUGUAGCGGUGAAAUGCGUAGAGAUCGGGAGGAAUACCAGUGGCGAAGGCGGCCUUCUGGACUGACACUGACACUGAGGUGCGAAAGCGUGGGUAGCAAACAGGAUUAGAUACCUUGGUAGUC
rnacentral:rRNA from 1 species